GGGAUCGGCGCUCUCCUGCGGCGGAGGCACGACGCAGCGACUCAGCUAGGCAGAGUUUCGUUGAGGCUACGCCUGGUUUGCGCCCCCGGGCGAGGAGGUCGGUCAGUCUAGCCUGGCGGUCGCGAGUCCAACUCCGGGCGUCCCCGAGGCAUGUAAGGCAGCGAGUGAGCACCCCGGUUCCACUGUGCCGCGCCGGCAGCCUGCAGACAGCAUGAAGAAGGACAGCCUGAGUCGCGCCGAUCAGCAGUAUGAGUGCGUGGCGGAGAAUACCGAAGGCGCCUAAAAGAAGGUGUUCAAGGCCCAAGAUGUGAAGAAUGGCGGCCGCUUCUUUACUCUGAAGCGCGUGUGAGUGAAGACCAGUGAGGAGGGCAUGUGGCUCUCCACCAUCUGCGAAGUGGUGGUGCUGAGGCACCUGGAGAAUUUGAGCACCUCAACGUGGUCAGGAAUUCCUUACAACAAAUAUGUGUCUACUGUAUGCCCUCGAGCGUCCCAGGCUUGAUGAGCCAAUAGUGUCCUGCACACAGAUUUGCUCUAGUUUUACGGUUCGUAAUCUUGAAUUCUGGAGCCUUUGUCAGAAUAAGACUGUAUGGCCAGAGUGUUCCCAUUCCAUAGGUGAGUUCUGUUUGUCAUCCUUAUAGACUGCCUGAAUCUAUCUUUGGUGAAAGUAUUCCAUGGCCAUUGUGUGCUCCCUGAGAUUCAUGUUUAUUCCUUCAGGUUAGUUCAGCCUUGUGUAGACUUUGAAGGUACAGAUAGAACCAGAGACUGCUGAACACCUCUUCCAAAUGGUACAGGCCUGUUUUGAAAGAUAAUUAUUUUUCUAACUAAUCAAGGAUUGGUAAAAAUGGUGAGGGCUCUGUGUGUAUGCGGUGUGUGUGUGUGUGUAUGGUAUGGUGUGUGUGUGUAUGUAUGUGUAUGUAUGUGUGUGGGGGGAGGUGUUUGAUUGGAAUGCAAAUUUUUCCAUAGGGAAACAAUAAGGAAGUGUAUUUCUCUAUUAAGGGAAGAAAACUAGUACAUCAUGCAAAGUCAAAUUUAUUAGAAACUCUUUUGGUAAGUAGAAGGAAGACAAGCUAAAGAAUAAAUUAAUUAAUGAAUAGAAUAGAAUAGAACAGAACAGAACAGAACAGAACAGAACAGAACAGAACAGAACAGAACAGAGCUGGGGAAGUCAUAGGCCUCAAGUUGUGAGAGCUUAUCACUAAUAUUUAGCUAACUUUACACAAUGUCAGAUUGUCUUCUCAAUGUCAGUGUUAGUCAUUUCUAAUGACUCAAGUGAUCAAAACUUUGUACUUUACAUAAACUUAAAGAGAAUUAGAAGUGUCAGAGAGCUGUCCUAUAACUGUUCUAUACUAAACCCAGAUAAGAUGUAGUCAAGACUCACCAAAACGAAUGGCGUAUCAGAGAAAAAGGUUGAUCUUUGGUUAUUAUACAAAAUAGUGAAUCUGGAUAUUUGGAAAAUGAUUUCUGGUAUAAUCAAUGUUAGAAUCUGGGCUCGGUUAUAACAAUGAUAUUUGAGAAAUCAUUUAUCUUCUGACAUGUUAACUUAUUUCUCAUUCAAAUGGAGAGAUUGAGCCACUUACUGAGCAGAACUUUUCUAAAGAUGAAAAAUAAAUGUAGGUUUCAUGGCUUUGCAAACUAUAAGGGGUUGAAAACAAGUAAGUAUGCCUAUGACAAUCCCUACUGCAACAAGGCCUGAAGCUGCAUUGUUUGUCUGAGUUAAUGCAGAUGCAGUGACCCCACCCUUUGUUGGAGCUUACUCUUCCAGAUAUGGAUUCCUGUAACAAAUGAUUUAACACACUUGCUCUGAUAUUCUAUAGUCAUUUAAAAAAUAGAAUUUUGCCCUUUCUAAUAACAAUACAUUAGCUUUAGCCUGAUGACUAAAUUUUCAUGUCAGUAAUAGUCUUCCUUCAUACUAUUUAUUAAUGAUGUUCUAAAGAUUAAUUAGUUGUAUGCCAAAUGCUAUAGUACUUAAUGGAGGUAAUUGAGCAAGACAAAAUAAAAAUGUAUACCUUUGGUGAAUUACUAGAUAGAUGAUUAUUAUGAAGAGCCAAAGAACCAACAGCUUAUAUCACCAGUCUCUUAAUAUAUAAAACUUCAUCAUCUUAAAGGUAAACUUAUGGUGUUUUUAUUAUAAGAAACAAUUGAACAUACUUCAAAAUUUACAAGCCAUUUUCAGAUAAAUAAGACCAAAACUGUCAAUAUAGUGGAUAUUUCAAAUCAUAUAAUAUCCUUGGGAUUGAAAUGAAUUGCUAAAAAGGGAAUGUUUCUAUUUGUAGUAACAUAAAUGGAAAACUAGGAUACUGCUAUACUUUAACAUUGAAAUAGAUUUUGCAGUUUUGAGAUGGUGUAUCAUAGUAGAAAUUGUUUCUUGCACAUACAGUAGUGAUCCAUCCAUUGGAAAUAAAUUCACAUUAUAUAAGUAAUAAUAUCAUAUAUAGCUAUUUUGAAAUAAUGUUCUUACUUUUCAAUUUUCGAUAUACAAUAUUUGUUAUUUUAGAUACAUUUACUACAAGUAAAAGUGAGAUUCUAAUAGCAAAACUGUGAUAAUACUAAGUGAUUAGUACAUGAAAAUUUCAGCAAAUCACUAUUAGUUUACCUACAGGAAAGAACAUUUUAUUUUAGAAUGACUUAUACUUUUUAAAUGCUUUUAUAUUACACACACAAACACACAUAUUGUCAUAUAUCACACAACAUUGGGCAAAGAUUAUGAGAAAUAUGUCAUUAGUCAAUUUUACAUUAUGUGAACAUAUGAGAGUAUAUUGGCAGGUAGUAAAGGUUAUAUUCCAAGACUAUAGGAUAUAUCCUAUUCUAUUAAACUACUAAUUUGUAUGGAAUACUGUAGGCUACUGUAAACCAAUGACUAUUGGUGUCUAUAAACAUGAAAAAGAGCAAAGGUGAAAAUAUUGUACAAAUGUAAGAUAUACCUGUAGCUAGUCCUUACCAUCACAAGAACUUACAGAUUUACACAUACUUCUUGCUGACAGGUAGCAUGAAUGAGGAGUAUGGAACUAUCAGACAUUAUCAUAUACUGUUGUAUACUUUAUAAACAUUGCAGUAUGACAUAGUGACUCUAUUUAGAUAAUUUUAAUUAUUUACUAAAUUAAUCCAAGCUCAUUUUAAAAAUGCAAAAUCUCAGGUUGAAGUACAAAAGCUGAAAUUUUAGAAGUUCAUAAAAUAAUCAUCAAAAGUUUAGCUAAAUUUCAUCCCGAACUAACACACACACACACACACACACACACACACUCCUCUGAACCUACACAUGGUUAGGAGUAUAGCUAUACAUCACCACUUUCUUCUCAUCUCUUUCCAUGGAACUUCUUCACAAUGAAACAUAUGUGGUUCUGUCCUGUUCUUUCUGGAUCCCAGACUUGUUUCUAGAUCACUGUUGAGGAUGUCCAUGAAGCUCUUGCUGAACAGGUGCCACUGUCUUCAGAAAGAUAUGAAGGUCAAGUUUCCCUUUUCAUUUUCUGUGGGAUGGUGGGCUGUGCACAGACAGCCUGCUCCCUGGGUGACCAAAGGUCUGGAACCCCAAUGAUCUGGUGGGUGGUAAUUUCCACCUGCAUGGGACAGAAGGUCCCAUGCCUCCUGGGUCCCUGGCUCCUGUCAUGUAGCUACAGCCUCCCACAGCCCUCACCCUGCAGAGAGGUAUGUGGUCAUUAGUCAUGUAGGAGUAGCAGGAGCCCUCCCACAUGCAAAUCAGGUUUCCCCAAAGCUCUCAGACCAAACCAAUGAGAGAUACCUGUUGUCAGACACUUACCCACCCUGAAACUUUAUAUAAGAACCCUAUCCAGAAGGAAUAAAGCUGUGCAAGAACUAUUCUGUCAUCGGAACCUUCUGUCCUAAGAGCUGUUAACCCUUAGGAAGAGGUCUGUUCUCUGGAAGUGAUGCCUGAAGCUCCACUGCACUCCUCACUGACUAGUCGGUCUUGUGUCAGCCCAGCUAGACCUGACUCAGUGCAGGGUGGUGUGGAGUAACCAAGUAACCUGGAAGACACAACAAGACAGAGGUGGAGCCAAAUGUAGCAGCAGAAGUGGAGGAAGCAACUUCCCCUCCCUCCCGGCACUUGUUAACCUUCACUGGAACUCUAGCACCAAGCAGGGUCAGAGAUCUCCGUGGAAGCCUCUGGUACACAGGCCCACAAUUUUGUGUUAUAUACUUGCUUGUUAACUUAUCAUGAAUAUUGAACAUUCUUCUCUAUGGAGGAAGGUCUUUCUGUGUUGAGAUAUAUGUUUGGGAAUGUUUAAGCAUCUUCUUGAGGUAAGUGCAUUUUCUACCUAUUCUUCUUCAUAGUUAUAUUUUCUCUUAUAAUUUCUUCAGUUAUGUGUUCAUCACCAAGUUCUAGCCACCCUCAAUUACUUGGGAAAUAUGAGUAAAAUCUGCUUCAUUUAAUUCUCAUCCACAACCAAGCUAAACUUGUUUGCCAUUGCACCCACAACCUUAUUGAAUUUGUAUGCCUCUAAUCCUUGGAAAAUCCUCUGUACUCAUGGAAAAAUCUAAGUGCUGUAAAAUUAAUAAAUAAAAUGUAGUAAUUU
rnacentral:lncRNA from 1 species